GCUGUGAACUCGAUGAGUAGGGCGGGACACGUGACAUCCUGUCUGAAUAUGGGGGGACCAUCCUCCAAGGCUAAAUACUCCUGACUGACCGAUAGUGAACCAGUACCGUGAGGGAAAGGCGAAAAGAACCCCGGCGAGGGGAGUGAAAUAGAACCUGAAACCGUGUACGUACAAGCAGUGGGAGCACCUUCGUGGUGUGACUGCGUACCUUUUGUAUAAUGGGUCAGCGACUUAUAUUUUGUAGCAAGGUUAACCGAAUAGGGGAGCCGUAGGGAAACCGAGUCUUAACUGGGCGUCUAGUUGCAAGGUAUAGACCCGAAACCCGGUGAUCUAGCCAUGGGCAGGUUGAAGGUUGGGUAACACUAACUGGAGGACCGAACCGACUAAUGUUGAAAAAUUAGCGGAUGACUUGUGGCUGGGGGUGAAAGGCCAAUCAAACCGGGAGAUAGCUGGUUCUCCCCGAAAGCUAUUUAGGUAGCGCCUCGUGAACUCAUCUUCGGGGGUAGAGCACUGUUUCGGCUAGGGGUCCAUCCCGGAUUACCAAACCGAUGCAAACUCCGAAUACCGAAGAAUGUUAUCACGGGAGACACACGGCGGGUGCUAACGUCCGUCGUGAAGAGGGAAACAACCCAGACCGCCAGCUAAGGUCCCAAAGUCAUGGUUAAGUGGGAAACGAUGUGGGAAGGCAUAGACAGCCAGGAUGUUGGCUUAGAAGCAGCCAUCAUUUAAAGAAAGCGUAAUAGCUCACUGGUCGAGUCGGCCUGCGCGGAAGAUGUAACGGGGCUAAACCAUGCACCGAAGCUGCGGCAGCGACGCUUAGGCGUUGUUGGGUAGGGGAGCGUUCUGUAAGCCGUUGAAGGUGGCCUGUGAGGGCUGCUGGAGGUAUCAGAAGUGCGAAUGCUGACAUAAGUAACGAUAAUGCGGGUGAAAAACCCGCACGCCGGAAGACCAAGGGUUCCUGUCCAACGUUAAUCGGGGCAGGGUGAGUCGACCCCUAAGGCGAGGCUGAAAAGCGUAGUCGAUGGGAAACAGGUUAAUAUUCCUGUACUGGGUGUGACUGCGAAGGGGGGACGGAGAAGGCUAGGCUAGCCGGGCGACGGUUGUCCCGGUUUAAGCAUGUAGGCGGAGCGACUUGGUAAAUCCGGUUGCUUAUCAACGCUGAGGUGUGAUGACGAGCCACUACGGUGGUGAAGUAGUUGAUGCCAAGCUUCCAGGAAAAGCCUCUAAGCAUCAGGUGACAUUCAAUCGUACCCCAAACCGACACAGGUGGUCAGGUAGAGAAUACUCAGGCGCUUGAGAGAACUCGGGUGAAGGAACUAGGCAAAAUGGUGCCGUAACUUCGGGAGAAGGCACGCUGGCAUUAGGUAAAGAGACUUGCUCUCGGCGCCGAAGCCAGUCGCAGAUACCAGCUGGCUGCAACUGUUUAAUAAAAACACAGCACUGUGCAAACACGAAAGUGGACGUAUACGGUGUGACGCCUGCCCGGUGCUGGAAGGUUAAUUGAUGGGGUCAGCCGCAAGGCGAAGCUCUUGAUCGAAGCCCCAGUAAACGGCGGCCGUAACUAUAACGGUCCUAAGGUAGCGAAAUUCCUUGUCGGGUAAGUUCCGACCUGCACGAAUGGCGUAAUGAUGGCCAGGCUGUCUCCACCCGAGACUCAGUGAAAUUGAACUCGCUGUGAAGAUGCAGUGUACCCGCGGCAAGACGGAAAGACCCCGUGAACCUUUACUAUAGCUUGACACUGAAUAUUGAGCCUUGAUGUGUAGGAUAGGUGGGAGGCAUUGAAGCGUGGACGCCAGUCUGCGUGGAGCCAACCUUGAAAUACCACCCUUUAAUGUUUGAUGUUCUAACUCGGCCCCAUAAUCUGGGGUGAGGACAGUGUCUGGUGGGUAGUUUGACUGGGGCGGUCUCCUCCCAAAGAGUAACGGAGGAGCACGAAGGUUAGCUAAUCACGGUCGGACAUCGUGAGGUUAGUGCAAAGGCAUAAGCUAGCUUGACUGCGAGAGUGACGGCUCGAGCAGGUACGAAAGUAGGUCUUAGUGAUCCGGUGGUUCUGAAUGGAAGGGCCAUCGCUCAACGGAUAAAAGGUACUCCGGGGAUAACAGGCUGAUACCGCCCAAGAGUUCAUAUCGACGGCGGUGUUUGGCACCUCGAUGUCGGCUCAUCACAUCCUGGGGCUGAAGUAGGUCCCAAGGGUAUGGCUGUUCGCCAUUUAAAGUGGUACGCGAGCUGGGUUUAGAACGUCGUGAGACAGUUCGGUCCCUAUCUGCCGUGGGCGUUGGAAGAUUGAGAGGGGCUGCUCCUAGUACGAGAGGACCGGAGUGGACGCAUCACUGGUGUUCGGGUUGUCAUGCCAAUGGCAUUGCCCGGUAGCUAAAUGCGGAAAAGAUAAGCGCUGAAAGCAUCUAAGCGCGAAACUUGCCUCGAGAUGAGUCUUCCCUGGGGCUUUAAGCCCCCUGAAGGAACGUUAAAGACUAUGACGUUGAUAGGCUGGGUGUGUAAGUGCAGCGAUGCAUUGAGCUAACCAGUACUAAUGAUCCGUGAGGCUUAACCUU
rnacentral:rRNA from 1 species